rnacentral:rRNA from 1 species
AGUGAACGCUGGCGGUAGGCCUAACACAUGCAAGUCGAACGGCAGCACAGUAAGAGCUUGCUCUUACGGGUGGCGAGUGGCGGACGGGUGAGGAAUACAUCGGAAUCUACUUUUUCGUGGGGGAUAACGUAGGGAAACUUACGCUAAUACCGCAUACGACCUACGGGUGAAAGCAGGGGAUCUUCGGACCUUGCGCGAUUGAAUGAGCCGAUGUCGGAUUCGCUAGUUGGCGGGGUAAAGGCCCACCAAGGCGACGAUCCGUAGCUGGUCUGAGAGGAUGAUCAGCCACACUGGAACUGGGACACGGUCCAGACUCCUACGGGAGGCAGCAUUGGUGAAUAUUGGACAAUGGGCGCAAGCCUGAUCCAGCCAUACCGCGUGGGUGAAGAAGGCCUUCGGGUUGUAAAGCCCUUUUGUUGGGAAAGAAAAGCAGCAGGUUAAUACCCCGCUGUUCUGACGGUACCCAAAGAAUAAGCACCGGCUAACUUCGUG